rnacentral:lncRNA from 1 species
GAUACAUUAUUUUCUUAUAUACGUUUUGUAGUGAACAAUCAAAAUUGAACAAUUAUUUUAAUAAGAUAGAAAUAACAAGUGCAUUGGAAAUUGGGUUUACUUUAGUACAUUGUCAACUAUCAAUAUUCCUUAUUUCCAUUUCCCUUUAUGUUUUAAUUGCAGUUAACUUUAAAAAAAAAUCCAAUUCGAUUUGUCUGACCAAAAGAGAGCUCCUAAUUAAGAUAUAAUUAGAAGAUGUGACUCUUUCCUGAAACUGUGAAUGUUUCGCCAAUCAUAUCACACUACGAGUUUGAUCUUUACUUCUAAAUAUCACACAACCAAGGUAUUAUUGUUCAUACGUGUAGUAGACAAUAAAACCUUUCUUAAAUAAGUGUCUUUUCAACACGUUUACAAAAUGUGAAAGAAGUAUGGUAGCUACAUACAAAACGCAUAUAAAAAAGUCAUAUUUCAUAAAAGUUGUGUGUUAAAAACGCUUACCUUUAACAAGAUUUCUAAAUGCUAUUCGAUGCAAAAAGGAAAAGUUCGAUAUGAUUAUUUUAAAUUCUAUAUUAUAAUUAUAGCACAUAUCCGUUAUCAGUAUAACGUCCCCGGUAGAUUACUGUGUUGGAUGGCUUUCAGCGAAGUAACAGUAUAAUGUCCCCGGGUAGAUUACUGUGUUGGAUGGCUUUCAGUGAGGUAACAGUAUAAUGUCCCCGGGAAGAUUACUGUGUUGGAUGGCUUUCAGCGAGGUAACAGUAUAAUGUCCCCGGGUAGAUUACUGUGUUGGAUGGCUUUCAGCGAGGUAACAGUAUAACGUCCCCGGGUAGAUUACUGUGUUGGAUGGCUUUCAGCGAGGUAACAGUAUAAUGUCCCCGGGUAGAUUACUGUGUUGGAUGGCUUUCAGCGAGGUAACAGUAUAAUGUCCCCGGGUAGAUUACUGUGUUGGAUGGCUUUCAGCGAGGUAACAGUAUAAUGUCCCCGGGUAGAUUACUGUGUUGGAUGGCUUUCAGCGAGGUAACAGUAUAAUGUCCCCGGGUAGAUUACUGUGUUGGAUGGCUUUCAGCGAGGUAACAGUAUAAUGUCCCCGGGUAGAUUACUGUGUUGGAUGGCUUUCAGCGAGGUAACAGUAUAAUGUCCCCGGGUAGAUUACUGUGUUGGAUGGCUUUCAGCGAGGUAACAGUAUAAUGUCCCCGGGUAGAUUACUGUGUUGGAUGGCUUUCAGCGAGGUAACAGUAUAAUGUCCCCGGGUAGAUUACUGUGUUGGAUGGCUUUCAGCGAGGUAACAGUAUAAUGUCCCCGGGUAGAUUACUGUGUUGGAUGGCUUUCAGUGAGGUAUCAGUAUAACGUCCCCCGGGUAGAUUACUGUGUUGGAUGGCUUUCAGCGAGGUAACAGUAUAAUGUCCCCGGGUAGAUAACUGUGUUGGAUGGCUUUCAGCAAGGUAUCAGUAUAACGUCCCCGGGUAGAUUACUGUAUUGGAUGGCUUUCAGCGAGGUAACAGUAUAAUGUCCCCGGGUAGAUUACUGUGUUGGAUGGCUUUCAGCGAGGUAACAGUAUAACGUCCCCGGGUAGAUUACUGUGUUGGAUGGCUUUCAGCGAGGUAACAGUAUAAUGUCCCCGGGUAGAUUACUGUGUUGGAUGGCUUUCAGCGAGGUAACAGUAUAAUGUCCCCGGGUAGAUUACUGUGUUGGAUGGCUUUCAGCGAGGUAACAGUAUAAUGUCCCCGGGUAGAUUACUGUGUUGGAUGGCUUUCAGCGAGGUAACAGUAUAAUGUCCCCGGGUAGAUUACUGUGUUGGAUGGCUUUCAGCGAGGUAACAGUAUAAUGUCCCCGGGUAGAUUACUGUGUUGGAUGGCUUUCAGCGAGGUAACAGUAUAAUGUCCCCGGGUAGAUUACUGUGUUGGAUGGCUUUCAGCGAGGUAACAGUAUAAUGUCCCCGGGUAGAUUACUGUGUUGGAUGGCUUUCAGCGAGGUAACAGUAUAAUGUCCCCGGGUAGAUUACUGUGUUGGAUGGCUUUCAGCGAGGUAACAGUAUAAUGUCCCCGGGUAGAUUACUGUGUUGGAUGGCUUUCAGCGAGGUAACAGUAUAAUGUCCCCGGGUAGAUUACUGUGUUGGAUGGCUUUCAGCGAGGUAACAAUAUAAUGUCCCCGGGUAGAUUACUGUGUUUGAUGGCUUUCAGCGAGGUAACAAUAUAAUGUCCCCUGGUAGAUUACUGUGUUGGAUGGCUUUCAGCGAGGUAACAGUAUAAUGUCCCCAGGUAGAUUACUGUGUUGGAUGGCUUUCAGCGAGGUAACAAUAUAAUGUCCCCUGGUAGAUUACUGUGUUGGAUGGCUUUCAGCGAGGUAACAGUAUAAUGUCCCCUGGUAGAUUACUGUGUUGGAUGGCAUUCAGCGAGGUAACAGUAUGAUGUCGGCAUUGGCUAUCACAAGGAGGCAAGUACUUCCACAUACCCAGCCUCAAGGACACCUACACACUUGCAAGAUUACGUUACAAACAUGGAAAUACGUCUUUUAAUCACAUUAGAUGAUGAUAUGGCUUGAAACAGAACAAAACCAAAGUAUUGUACCAGUACUUUAUCAUUAGCUUUGUGAAGAGGAUAUUCACUGAAGUAAGCAGCAUCAAUUUUCAAGGAAUGUUGCUUCGCUUAAGUAGUUUUAAAAAGUUACAUAUGAAAACAACCCCUUCCAUUGUGACCUUUUGAUCUGAAUGCACUUUGAAAAUAAAUAAAAAAUGAAACUCAUUUGUUUAAGUCGUUUAAUAGCUAUCACCACAAAGCCUCGUAUUAAUUCAAAUUCCAUAUCUACGAUAUAAAUACAAUAUAACAGAGGUCAUUAUCUUUUCAAUGCCUCCGCUAGGAGUCGAACCCGAGACCUCUGGCUUACUAGGUCUUAUUGUAUACAUCUCUGAAUAUUUGAUGUAUUAAUACGAACCAUCUGUGCUUUUUUAGAAUAGGUAUAGAUAAUCUGCUGUUGCUACUUUUAACAGUAGAUUUGUGAUUGCCUCAAAUAUACCAACUGACGUGCUCAAAAGAAUUGGAGAAGAGAGUGCACGGAUCAA